UACGUAGGGUGCGAGCGUUAAUCGGAAUUACUGGGCGUAAAGCGUGCGCAGGCGGUUCGUUAAGUCAGAUGUGAAAGCCCUGGGCUCAACCUGGGAACUGCAUUGGAUACUGGCUUACUAGAGUGCGGUAGAGGGGUGUGGAAUUCCCGGUGUAGCAGUGAAAUGCGUAGAUAUCGGGAGGAACAUCUGUGGCGAAGGCGACACCCUGGACCAGCACUGACACUGAGGCACGAAAGCGUGGGGAGCAAACAGG
rnacentral:rRNA from 1 species